GCUCACGGGCCCACUGCUGCUGUCCCGGAUUCUGUACUUUCUCGUGCCUUUUAUUAGCACCAUAUUCUGUGGUCACAUUGGCAAUGCUGAACUGGCUGGAUAUGCACUUGCUUCAUCGACCAUUGCAAUAACCACAACUGCAACAGGCUAUGGCUUGCCUUGGCUUGUGACACACUAAUUUCUCAGACAUUCGGCAGUAAGAACAUGAAACGUGUGGGAGUUAUUCUCCAAAGGAGCACAUUGAUCCUGCUGUUCUUUUGUCUGCC